GAUGAACGCUAGCGGCAGGCCUAAUACAUGCAAGUCGAGGGAGAAUGUUGGAUUCGUCUGACAUGAAACCGGCGCACGGGUGCGUAACACGUAUGCAACCUACCUUUAACUGGGGUAUAGCUCAGAGAAAUCUGAAUUAAUCCCCCAUAAGGCUACGACAUGGCAUCAUGAUGUAGUUAAAGCUCCGGCGGUUAAGGGUGGGCAUGCGGUACAUUAGCUAGUUGGUGAGGUAAUGGCUCACCAAGGCUACGAUGUAUAGGGGGUCUGAGAGGAUGAUCCCCCACACUGGUACUGAGACACGGACCAGACUCCUACGGGAGGCAGCAGUAGGGAAUAUUGGUCAAUGGACGCAAGUCUGAACCAGCCAUGCCGCGUGAAGGAUGAAGGCCCUAUGGGUCGUAAACUUCUUUUAUUAGGGAAGAAAAAACGGGAUGCGUCCUGUACUGACGGUACUUAAUGAAUAAGGAUCGGCUAACUUCGUGCCAGCCGCCGCAGUAA
rnacentral:rRNA from 1 species